AACAUCGCGCACCUGCGGGAACCUGCGGAGGGAUCAUUACCGAGCUCUUGCCCUGCGGGCAGAACUCCCACCCGUUGCUAUUUCUACCGUCGUUGCCUCGGCGGGCCCGCUAGGCCCGGCCCGGCCGCCGGCUCUAGCCGGCGUGCGCCCGCCAGAGGCCCCCCAAACCCUGUGUAUCGGUGUCGUCUGAGGGCUAUAUAAUGAUUAAAACUUUUAACAACGGAUCUCAGAUCGGAAGAG
rnacentral:misc_RNA from 1 species